CAGGCAAGAUGGAUUCUGGAUGGUGUUUCCUUCUCCUCUGGAAGACACAGGAAACUCUACCACUCAGUCCUCCAAGGCUUCAGGCAUCCGCAUGGAAGGCACAGCAAGAGGAGAGACAGUGUCAGUGCAUCCACUGCUCCACCACAGUCUGCUUUCUCACUGGGAAAACAAAGGCCUCCCAGGAAUGCUGAAGCCUGCAAAGAGGAGGCGGUUGAGAAGAAUCCGGUGGUGUUGCGUCUUCCUUGCUGGCCGAGGUGGGUGUGCCAACUGGUGGCGUGUACAUGGACCUGAGGACAUCCUCGUGGAUUCAGAACUCUUCAGACUCAGGACUGCAACGUUGAAUCAAGACAAUCCAAUUUGGGUGCCUGAGCGUUUGACUCGCAAACUGCCUCCUGCUACUACUGACAAUGGAACUACGCACUCUAUUAUUGCUGGGAAUGGCUUGUGUAUGGCUGCGAAGGACAACAUUGGCUAAUUGGUUAGAUCCUAUGAGCAGUAGUGCUAUGGGCGCUAGUGCCAUCCUGGCUGCUUUGAGUCAAGUUACCCAAGGAGCCUCUUCAGGCAGCGGAGACACAUCAGCCAAUAAUUCUGCUGAGUUGAACAUUACAACUUUGAUUAUGAUGCAUAAUUGUAGUUUUCCAUCACGCCCGGGGCAAG
ensembl:lncRNA